rnacentral:rRNA from 1 species
UACGUAGGGUGCGAGCGUUGUCCGGAAUUACUGGGCGUAAAGAGCUCGUAGGUGGUUUGUCGCGUUGUUCGUGAAAACUCACAGCUUAACUGUGGGCGUGCGGGCGAUACGGGCAGACUGGAGUACUGCAGGGGAGACUGGAAUUCCUGGUGUAGCGGUGGAAUGCGCAGAUAUCAGGAGGAACACCGGUGGCGAAGGCGGGUCUCUGGGCAGUAACUGACGCCGAGGAGCGAAAGCGUGGGGAGCGAACAGG